rnacentral:rRNA from 1 species
GACGAACGCUGGCGGCGUGCCUAAUACAUGCAAGUCGUGCGGACCUUGUUGAAAGCUUGCUUUUAAAAGGUUAGCGGCGGACGGGUGAGUAAUACGUGGGCAACCUGCCUGUAAGACUGGGAUAACGCCGGGAAACCGGGGCUAAUACCAGAUCGUUUUUUCCUCCGCAUGGAGGAAAAAGGAAAGGCGGCUUCGGCUGCCACUUACAGAUGGGCCCGCGGCGCAUUAGCUAGUUGGCGGGGUAAUGGCCCACCAAGGCAACGAUGCGUAGCCGACCUGAGAGGGGGAUCGGCCACAUUGGGGCUGGGACACGGCCCAAACUCCUACGGGAGGCAGCAGUAGGGAAUCUUCCGCAAGGGACGAAAGUCUGACGGAGCAACGCCGCGUGAGUGAAGAAGGCCUUCGGGUCGUAAAACUCUGUUGCCGGGGAAGAACAAGUGCCGUUCGAACAGGGCGGCGCCUUGACGGUACCCGGCCAGAAAGCCACGGCUAACUACGUG